rnacentral:rRNA from 1 species
AUACGUAGGGUGCGAGCGUUGUCCGGAAUUACUGGGCGUAAAGAGCUCGUAGGUGGUUUGUCGCGUCGUCUGUGAAAUUCCGGGGCUUAACUCCGGGCGUGCAGGCGAUACGGGCAUAACUUGAGUACUGUAGGGGAGACUGGAAUUCCUGGUGUAGCGGUGAAAUGCGCAGAUAUCAGGAGAAACACCGGUGGCGAAGGCGGGUCUCUGGGCAGUAACUGACGCUGAGGAGCGAAAGCAUGGGUAGCGAACAGGAUUAGAUACCCUGGUAGUCCAUGCCGUAGACGGUGGGCGCUAGGUGUAGGGGUCUUCCACGACUUCUGUGCCGUAGCUAACGCAUUAAGCGCCCCGCCUGGGGAGUACGGCCGCAAGGCUAAAACUCAAAGGAAUUGACGGGGG